GACAAUAUGGACAAUUGUUUUUUCAAUUUGUAUAGCUUAAUUAACUUAAUAGCCUAGAUAGAAAUUGUAACACAGCCGUAGGCAUUGUCAUUCGAGAUUCAAAUGCAUGCAAAGUUUGAGUAAAACAGUCACUAGAGUUGAAGCCGAAUUAUAGACUAAACCCUUCAGUAAGUGUUUAUGUUCAAUAAAGGGGAUGUAACUCUAUUCCCAGAUACCACUUUUCAUUCCUAUUCUGAUGUUCCUGGUGAACGUGUACCUGUUUAUCGCCCCUAUCAUCAUCCAACCCAAGCUAGAGUACGUCUACGUGGCAGCCAGUGUGCUGGGCGCUUCCUUCUUGUUGUAUAUUCCCUUUAUCUAUUUUGGCCUUAAGAUGCCUUUAUACGAUAACUUUGUCACGUGGUUGCAACUGAUCUUUAAAAUUUGUCCCCCGACUCAGAAUACUGAUUUGUAAAAAUCAUCACAUCAUAGACUAGCCGCCUUCGUUGUGCAUAUAAAACCUAUUGUACAUAAUGAC